GUCGAGCGGAAACGAUUCUAGUUUACUAGAAGGCGUCGAGCGGCGGACGGGUGAGUAAUGCUUGGGAACAUGCCUUUAGGUGGGGGACAACCAUUGGAAACGAUGGCUAAUACCGCAUAAUGUCUACGGACCAAAGGGGGCUUCGGCUCUCGCCUUUAGAUUGGCCCAAGUGGGAUUAGCUAGUUGGUGAGGUAAUGGCUCACCAAGGCGACGAUCCCUAGCUGGUUUGAGAGGAUGAUCAGCCACACUGGAACUGAGACACGGUCCAGACUCCUACGGGAGGCAGCAGUGGGGAAUAUUGCACAAUGGGCGCAAGCCUGAUGCAGCCAUGCCGCGUGUGUGAAGAAGGCCUUCGGGUUGUAAAGCACUUUCAGUUGUGAGGAAAGGUUAGUAGUUAAUACCUGCUAGCUGUGACGUUAGCAACAGAAGAAGCACCGGCUAACUCCGUGCCAGCAGCCGCGGUAAUACGGAGGGUGCGAGCGUUAAUCGGAAUUACUGGGCGUAAAGCGUACGCAGGCGGUUUGUUAAGCGAGAUGUGAAAGCCCCGGGCUCAACCUGGGAACUGCAUUUCGAACUGGCAAACUAGAGUGUGAUAGAGGGUGGUAGAAUUUCAGGUGUAGCGGUGAAAUGCGUAGAGAUCUGAAGGAAUACCGAUGGCGAAGGCAGCCACCUGGGUCAACACUGACGCUCAUGUACGAAAGCGUGGGGAGCAAACGGGAUUAGAUACCCCGGUAGUCCACGCCGUAAACGAUGUCUACUAGGAGUUCGGUUUUUCGGAACUGUCUUCCAAAGCUAACGCAUUAA
rnacentral:rRNA from 1 species